rnacentral:lncRNA from 1 species
GCCGAAUUCCGCAGAUCUCUGCCGGGCCCCGCCCCUAUGGGCAAGGACCAAUGGUCUCUCUCUGGGCGGGGCUGCUGUUGGACGGCCUGGGCCAAUCCGAGGCGCCGGAGGCCAAUCAGUUGGCGGAGCGGCGCGUGCGCGGGCGAGGAACUGCCCGGGCGCGGUAGCGUACGGGAAGACCGGAGAGGAGCUGCGUCUCUGCCCCGUGGGAGCCGGCGGGGCGGCGGGGCGGCGGCUGCAGCUGCAGCUCCGGCGCGAGGGCUCCCUUGCCGGGCCCUCUUCCCCGACCCCUGGGGCGCUCCGACAAGGAAGAGCCGUCCAGCGCGCGUCCGUCCUGAGCGUGGAGGAGUUGGUGAACAGCAGGAUGGAUGGGAUGUCAGUCAGCUGUGCCCCUGGCUACCCCUGUGCUUGAACAGUGGACUGUGAGUGGCGGCGUCAUGCAGAAGGAGCACAGGGUCCCAGGCCAGCAUCACUAUCCAGGAGCUUCAGGCAUGCUCCGUGUACCAACAUGGGAUCACGAAUCACAUCGCCUCAGGCCAAGAAAGCCAUUUUAUAGCGAAAGAGCCUUAGGAUCUGCUGGAUUAGAGCCUGUUUCCCAGGUAGGAACGCUUCCACGAGGGCACUCCUGCUGGUUGCAGGAAGGAUACCUCUGCUGAGCCUGAAUCUGCAAAGACCACCAGGUUACUCUCAGCUCCUCAUACUGGUGGACCAGCAGGCCACAAAGGAGGGGAUACUUGAUCCUGAUAAACGGUUAUGCUUGUUUGCUGAUGGAAAUGAUCCAGAAGAGAAGGACAAGUUGACGAUUGAGAGGGUUAAUGUCAGGUAAGAAACUUGAGUGGACAUUGAGGAAAGAGCGAGGUUCAGUGGACUGGAGGUUUGUGGUGGUUUCAUGACACGUGGACUGGAGAUUUGCAGUGGUUUUAUGACACAUGGACUGGAGGUUUGUGGUGGUUUCAUGACACAUGGACUGCAGAUUUGCAGUGGUUUUAUGACACAGCUCCUAAGUUCUUUGACACUCUUCCCAUGGAGGGGUAGGGUCUGUGACCCCCCUCUUGAAG